rnacentral:rRNA from 14 species
UUGGUGAGGUAAUGGCUCACCAAGGCGACGAUCCGUAACUGGUCUGAGAGGAUGAUCAGUCACACCGGAACUGAGACACGGUCCGGACUCCUACGGGAGGCAGCAGUGGGGAAUCUUGGACAAUGGGCGCAAGCCUGAUCCAGCCAUGCCGCGUGAGUGAUGAAGGCCUUAGGGUUGUAAAGCUCUUUUGUCCGGGACGAUAAUGACGGUACCGGAAGAAUAAGCCCCGGCUAACUUCGUGCCAGCAGCCGCGGUAAUACGAAGGGGGCUAGCG